GCCGGGCGUGGUAGUGCAUGCUUGUAAUCCCAGCUACUUGGGAGGCUGAGGCAGGAGAAUUACUUGAACCCAGGAGGUGGAGGUUGCAGUGAGCCGAGAUGGUGCCACUGCACUCCAGCCUGGGUGAGAGAGUGAGAUUCUGUCUCAA
rfam:Gorilla gorilla gorilla genomic chromosome, chr1, whole genome shotgun sequence